rnacentral:tRNA from 1 species
GUGAGCGUAGCUCAGCUGGUGAGAGCACUGGUCUGUGGCACCAGGGGUCGUGGGUUCAAAUCCCAUCGUUCACC